rnacentral:rRNA from 1 species
ACUCAAAGGAAUAGACGGGGACCCGCACAAGCGGUGGAUUAUGUGGUUUAAUUCGAAGCAACGCGCAGAACCUCACCUGGGUUUGACAUCCAGAGAAAAGCAGCAGAGAUGUUGCCUUGAGCUAUAGCAAUAUAGCUCCUCUGAGACAGGUGCUGCAUGGCUGUCGUCAGCUCGUGUUGUGAAAUAUUGGGUUAAGUCCCGCAACGAGCGCAACCCCUAUUCUUAGUUGCCAGCAUUAAGUUGGGCACUCUAGGAAGACUGCCUGCGUUAAGCAGGAGGAAGGUGGGGAUGACGUCAAGUCCUCAUGGCCUUUAUGCCCAGGGCUACACACGUAAUACAAUGGUAGGUACAGAACGUCGCGAAGCCGUAAGGUGAAGCUAAUCGUCAAAAACCUAUCUCAGUUCGGAUUGAAGUCUGCAACUCGACUUCAUGAAGUUGGAAUCGCUAGUAAUCGCGGAUAAGUACGCCGCGGUGAAUACGUUCCCGGGUCUUGCACACACCGCCCGU